rnacentral:lncRNA from 1 species
CCCAAAAAUGUUCAAAAAAGCAGUCUUUUAUCACUUAUUCGGCUACAGAAGUAGAUUUCCAGCACUUCUUCUCAAUGCAAAAAUCCCGUCAGACGGGCCGUUGACGGGCUACUAACGUUUAAAAUUUUAAAUAAUUGGUAAUUGAUGAUGGAAAAUUUUGAAAAAAAUAAUUAACGAUUCUGUUCAUGUUAUAAACAUUGUCCUAGAAUUUCAAAUGUUUCCAACCAAAAUUGAGAAAGUUAUAUCAUUUUUUCAAAUUAGAUUCCAGUUUGUGCUAAAAAUCAUGUCACACACCAAGCCUAUGAAAUAAUUUUCAAGUUUCAAAUUCAAAUAAUAAUAAACUAGGUACUAUUUUAUUGAUUCCAACAUUAUUUCAGUGAAAGCACAAAUGUCCACCAUAAAGAAAUCAUUAAUCCAUCCCAGAAAUAUGGACUGUUAUCUGUUUUAAUGUUAACAAUAAAGAUUGUCUAUAUCAAUAACUUUGAAACUCCCGGGGUGAUUUGUGCUUGUGCACUACUGCGCUUGAGCGACAGCCAUUAAAGAUGUCCUCGGCCUGUCUUCUUUAGUUUUCAGUAGUUGAAGGUGAAGUAUUGCAGUAUUGGUUCGUUGUUUGUUUAUCCUUUAUUUUAUCGCGUCAUCAAGUUGAUGAUGAUUUUUGAUUGCUGAAGGUCUUAAAUUAAGACGAAGGUGGGAAUAGAACUGCAGAUACAUAUUAUACUAAAAUCCACCAUGACAGAUGAAUAUGAUGCCAAGGAUUAGAUUUGAAAAAAGUUCUUCUCCUCUCUACAUUUGAUGAAAGCCAUUUUCAGCAAAGGUGGGAAUAGAACUGCAGACGCAUAUACCAAAAUCCACCAUGACAGACGAAUAUGCUGCCAACUACAGUUUUAGAUUUAAAACUCCUUUCUACAUCUGAUGGAAACCAUUUUCAGACCAAGAGCAGAGAGACUACGCCUCAUGAAGCUCAAAUCGAGGACGAUAGCAGUUCAAAGUAAAAAUAUAUAAUUAGUAAUAAAUUGAAAGUUCAAUUUUUGUAAUAUUUAAUAAAAAUCAUUGAAUUUUAUUGAAAA